rnacentral:rRNA from 1 species
UCAGAUUGAACGCUGGCGGCAGGCCUAACACAUGCAAGUCGAACGGUAACGGACCGCUGGGAUCCCUUCGGGGUGACCUUGGUGCCGACGAGUGGCGGACGGGUGAGUAACACGUAGGAAUCUGCCCAACAGAGGGGGACAACCCGGAGAAAUCCGGGCUAAUACCGCAUACGCCCUACGGGGGAAAGCGGGGGAUCUUCGGACCUCGUGCUGUUGGAGGAGCCUGCGUCGGAUUAGCUUGUUGGUGAGGUAAUGGCUCACCAAGGCGACGAUCCGUAGCUGGUCUGAGAGG